AAAAUGGAGAGUUUGAUCCUGGCUCAGGAUUAACGCUGGCGGCGUGCCUAAUACAUGCAAG
rnacentral:rRNA from 1 species